UGACCACAUUUCAUGGUUUCUAACCAUGGAACGUUAAGGCCAUACGGACAGCCGGGUCAAAUGCCGA
rnacentral:sRNA from 2 species